rnacentral:tRNA from 1 species
UUGAAUAUAGUAUAAAAAAUACAUCUUGCUUACACCAAGAAGAUACCCUCCUUAUUCACU